rnacentral:rRNA from 1 species
UGAGGAAUAUUGGUCAAUGGGCGCAAGCCUGAACCAGCCAUCCCGCGUGCAGGAUGACGGCCCUAUGGGUUGUAAACUGCUUUUAUACACCAAGAAACUUUCGGACGUGUCCGGAACUGACGGUAGUGUAUGAAUAAGCAUCGGCUAACUCCGUGCCAGCAGCCGCGGUAAUACGGAGGAUGCGAGCGUUAUCCGGCUUCAUUGGGUUUAAAGGGUGCGUAGGCGGCUGUUUAAGUCAGUGGUGAAAUCCUGCCGCUUAACGGUAGAAUUGCCAUUGAUACUGAAGAGCUUGAGUACAAUUGAGGUAAGCGGAAUGUGUAGUGUAGCGGUGAAAUGCUUAGAUAUUACACAGAACACCGAUUGCGAAGGCAGCUUACUAAACUGUCACUGACGCUGAUGCACGAAAGCGUGGGGAGCGAACA